GUCGCACGAGAAAGGGGAGCAAUCCCUGAGUAAAGUGGCGCACGGGUGAGUAACACGUGACUAAUCUACCCUCGAGUGGGGAAUAACUGAGAGAAAUCUUAGCUAAUACCGCAUAACACUUACGAGUCAAAGCAGCAAUGCGCUUGGGGAGGAGAUCGCGGCCGAUUAGCUAGUUGGCGGGGUAAUGGCCCACCAAGGCGAUGAUCGGUAUCCGGCCUGAGAGGGCGCACGGACACACUGGAACUGAAACACGGUCCAGACUCCUACGGGAGGCAGCAGUGGGGAAUUUUGCGCAAUGGGGGAAACCCUGACGCAGCAACGCCGCGUGGAGGAUGAAGUAUCUUGGUACGUAAACUCCUUUCGAUAGGGAAGAUAAUGACGGUACCUAUAGAGGAAGCCCCGGCUAACUUCGU
rnacentral:rRNA from 1 species